GUUCUCCCUCGCCGCUACUGAGAGGAAGGAUAUCACCGGCGAACACAGCCACUUCCUCCUUCUGCUCGCGGCUCCUGACGGGGAGGGCACCAGGUGUGAUCUUCAGAAGGAAUGUGACGACUUCUCCUCCAGGAAAGCCGGGAAAUGAUUCAAACCACACCAUGUACCUCUGAGAUCAUGUGUCCGUACAGUUCCAAUGUUAGAUCCCAUCAAACAGGCCAUAACAGUGCUACUUCAGGGGCUACGCUCCUUUCAAACAUAUCCUUAUAGUUGUCCCUGAUCUUCGUGACGCAGCUUUUGCAUGCAAGACUUUGUUUAGCUUUUCAGCGACGUGCCACGCAUCGAAGGUGGAGUCAAAGUGACAACAUUACAGAUGACUGGAAUUAAAUAAUGCGUAAGGCUAU